GACGAACGCUGGCGGCGUGCUUAACACAUGCAAGUCGAACGGAAAGGCCCUGCUUUUGUGAGGUGCUCGAGUGGCGAACGGGUGAGUAACACGUGAGUAACCUGCCCUUGACUUUGGGAUAACUUCAGGAAACUGGGGCUAAUACCGGAUAGGAGCUCCUGCUGCAUGGUGGGGGUUGGAAAGUUUCGGCGGUUGGGGAUGGACUCGCGGCUUAUCAGCUUGUUGGUGGGGUAGUGGCUUACCAAGGCUUUGACGGGUAGCCGGCCUGAGAGGGUGACCGGCCACAUUGGGACUGAGAGACGGCCCAGACUCCUACGGGAGGCAGCAGUGGGGAAUAUUGCACAAUGGGCGGAAGCCUGAUGCAGCAACGCCGCGUGCGGGAUGACGGCCUUCGGGUUGUAAACCGCUUUCGCCUGUGACGAAGCGUGAGUGACGGUAAUGGGUAAAGAAGCACCGGCUAACUACGUG
rnacentral:rRNA from 1 species